UUAAGUGACUAAGCGUACACGGUGGAUGCCUUGGCAGUCAGAGGCGAUGAAGGACGUAUUAACUUGCGAUAAGCCCAGAUUAGGCAGUAAAAGCCACUUGAGUCUGGGAUUUCCGAAUGGGGAAACCCACUUACAUAAGUAAGUAUCAUUAACUGAAUACAUAGGUUAAUGAGGCAAACCGGGGGAACUGAAACAUCUAAGUACCCCGAGGAAGAGAAAUCAACCGAGAUUCCGGUAGUAGCGGCGAGCGAAACCGGAUUAGCCCUUAAGUUAGUUCAGCGUUAGGUGAAGGUUCUGGAAAGUUCCGCGAUACAGGGUGAUAGCCCCGUAACCAACAACGCUUUAUUAGUGAAAUCGAGUAGGACGGGACACGUGAUAUCCUGUUUGAACAUGGGGGGACCAUCCUCCAAGGCUAAAUACUCCUGACUGACCGAUAGUGAACCAGUACCGUGAGGGAAAGGCGAAAAGAACCCCUGUGAGGGGAGUGAAAUAGAACCUGAAACCGUGUACGUACAAGCAGUAGGAGCAUACUUGUUAUGUGACUGCGUACCUUUUGUAUAAUGGGUCAGCGACUUAAUUUUAGUAGCAAGGUUAACCGUUUAGGGGAGCCGUAGGGAAACCGAGUCUUAACUGGGCGAAUUAGUUGCUAGGAUUAGACCCGAAACCGAGUGAUCUAGCCAUGGGCAGGUUGAAGGUGAGGUAACACUUACUGGAGGACCGAACCGACUAAUGUUGAAAAAUUAGCGGAUGACUUGUGGCUAGGGGUGAAAGGCCAAUCAAACUCGGAGAUAGCUGGUUCUCCCCGAAAGCUAUUUAGGUAGCGCCUCGGACGAAUACUACUGGGGGUAGAGCACUGUUAAGGCUAGGGGGUCAUCCCGACUUACCAACCCUUUGCAAACUCCGAAUACCAGUAAGUAAUAUCCGGGAGACACACGGCGGGUGCUAACGUCCGUCGUGAAGAGGGAAACAACCCAGACCGCCAGCUAAGGUCCCAAAGUUAUAGCUAAGUGGGAAACGAUGUGGGAAGGCUCAGACAGCCAGGAUGUUGGCUUAGAAGCAGCCAUCAUUUAAAGAAAGCGUAAUAGCUCACUGGUCGAGUCGGCCUGCGCGGAAGAUUUAACGGGGCUAAGCUAUACACCGAAGCUGCGGCAAUAUGACUUGUUCAUAUUGGGUAGGGGAGCGUUCUGUAAGCCGUUGAAGGUGCAUUGUAAAGUGUGCUGGAGGUAUCAGAAGUGCGAAUGCUGACAUGAGUAACGAUAAAGGGAGUGAAAAACUCCCUCGCCGGAAGAUCAAGGGUUCCUGUCCAACGUUAAUCGGGGCAGGGUAAGUCGACCCCUAAGGCGAGGCCGAAAGGCGUAGUCGAUGGGAAACGGGUUAAUAUUCCCGUACUUCUUAUAAUUGCGAUGGAGGGACGGAGAAGGCUAGGUGAGCCUGGCGACGGUUGUCCAGGUCCAAGUAUGUAGGCUGAUGGUUUAGGCAAAUCCGGACCAUCUUAAGGCUGAGAUACGAUGUCGAGCUACUACGGUAGUGAAGUCAUUGAUGCCAUGCUUCCGGGAAAAGCUUCUAAGCUUCAGAUUAUAAGAAAUCGUACCCCAAACCGACACAGGUGAUCAGGUAGAGAAUACCAAGGCGCUUGAGAGAACUCGGGUGAAGGAACUAGGCAAAAUGGUACCGUAACUUCGGGAGAAGGUACGCUCCUAGCGGUGAUGAGACUUGCUCUCUAAGCUGCCGGGAGUCGCAGAUACCAGGUGGCUGCAACUGUUUAUUAAAAACACAGCACUGUGCAAAAUCGAAAGAUGACGUAUACGGUGUGACGCCUGCCCGGUGCCGGAAGGUUAAUUGAUGGGGUUAGACUUCGGUCGAAGCUCUUGAUCGAAGCCCCGGUAAACGGCGGCCGUAACUAUAACGGUCCUAAGGUAGCGAAAUUCCUUGUCGGGUAAGUUCCGACCUGCACGAAUGGCGUAAUGAUGGCCACGCUGUCUCCACCCGAGACUCAGUGAAAUUGAAAUCGCAGUGAAGAUGCUGUGUACCCGCGGCUAGACGGAAAGACCCCGUGAACCUUUACUAUAGCUUGGCACUGAACAUUGACCCUACAUGUGUAG
rnacentral:rRNA from 1 species